CCUACGGGAGGCAGCAGUGAGGAAUAUUGGACAAUGGUCGGAAGACUGAUCCAGCCAUGCCGCGUGAAGGAAUAAGGUCCUAUGGAUUGUAAACUUCUUUUGAGAGGGAGCAAUAAGGUGUACGUGUACACCGAUGAGAGUACCUUUCGAAUAAGCAUCAGCUAACUCCGUGCCAGCAGCCGCGGUA
rnacentral:rRNA from 1 species